rnacentral:rRNA from 1 species
UACGAGGGGGGCUAGCGUUGCUCGGAUUCAUUGGGCGUAAAGGGUGCGUAGGCGGCGCGGUAAGUCGGGUGUGAAAUCUCGGAGCUUAACUCCGAAACUGCAUUCGAUACUGCCGUGCUUGAGGACUGGAGAGGAGACUGGAAUUCUCGGUGUAGCGGUGAAAUGCGUAGAUAUCGAGAGGAACACCUGCGGCGAAGGCGGGUUGCUGGGCUGAUACUGACGCUGAGGCGCGAAAGCCAGGGGAGCGAACGGG